UUCAGGUGCUAAAUAUCAGUCUAUUGUCGAAUAUGACUUUCUUUGUAAAGAUAUUUUUUUUAUGUCACCUACUUUGCUUCAAUAAAUAAUUUGAUCAACCAAAUAUCACAAAAUUUGCUGGGUGUUUGGUUGAUCAGCUAUGCCCCUUCUUCUUUUCCACAGACUGAUAGAGAGGUUCCCAUCAUUUGUGGCAGUGUUUCCCAUCUUUUGUGAUGUUACCAUACAAAGGGAAAUCUCAUGGGCUUCCAGCUCUUCUGAUUCUGAUCAAAGAUGAAGGUACAUUGAAGCCAUCUCAAAAAGGAUAGUACAGUGUAAAGGGCCUCCGAUUUAUGUUGUAUAAUCACUACUCUUUAAGAAAUACUCCCAUAUGUUACGAAAUUGAAUAUGCUGCUACUCAUUUCUUUUCAUUUAAUCAAAAUUCUAUUCUAAGAUUCGUCAA